GAUGAACGCUAGCUACAGGCUUAACACAUGCAAGUCGAGGGACCGGCGCACGGGUGAGUAACACGUAUCCAACCUGCCCUUUACUCGGGGAUAGCCUUUCGAUAGAAAGACUAAUAUCCGAUGGAAAGGAUGGGGAUGCGUUCCAUUAGGUUGUUGGUGAGGUAACGGCUCACCAAGGCUUCGAUGGAUCGGGGUUCUGAGAGGAAGGUCCCCCACAUUGGAACUGAGACACGGUCCAAACUCCUACGGGAGGCAGCAGUGAGGAAGAUUGGGCAAUGGGCGUUAGCCUGAACCAGCCAAGUAGCGUGAAGGAUGAAGGCUUAUGGGUCGUAAACUUCUUUUAUAUAAGAAUAUGUAUUAUAUGAAUAAGGAUCGGCUAACUCCGUGCCAGCAGCCGCGGUAAUAC
rnacentral:rRNA from 1 species